CUGUGCCAGUGUGUCAGACACCAGAGGGAGAGAGAUGUAAAAUUAGGUCAGCGGCUCUGUAAACUGAUUAAAGCUCAUGCUUCACGCUUCCAAGGAAAACAGCCAAUACAAAAGGGAAUGAUCCCUGGCUCAAGAUGAGAAGGAAGGAGAGCUCUCUAUGUUCGUAGUCCAGCCAUAUAGGAUGCUUGGCCAAAAUGAAGGUAUAGAAAAGGAACAACCAAAGAAAGAACAGGACAUACUGGAUCUUUCUGGGUAUCAUCAAACUUCUCCAUCCAAGAAUAAGGGACAGCAGCAUCUCUUUGACAUCCAUAGCCCAUUUCUGCUUUGCCAAUAUCACUUGUGCAUCUGGGGCCACCAAUGCAUCCUAUCCUAGCAAGUAUCAAUGGGAAUAAAGAAGAAACUUAGAAAACGACAAAAUUCAAGAAGAGCUGAAGCUCUGGAGCUAGCUUUGGUGGAGAAAGAAUGAUGCGGGAUGUUGGACUAAGCGAGAAAUGCAUAAGAAGCUGGAAACCAGAAAGCAAGGAGACCCACUAACAUGGCCUACUCUGGUCGGCCUCUGGGCACAAAGGAGGGUGAAGAAAGGAUGGGAGCAGACAUGGAGGCACCAAUGGAAAGUACCAGAACACUUAAAAAAUUGAACUUUUAUGUUAUUACUCAAUGUUACUUUUAUAUUAUUAAUCAGUAUUUACUGAGCCCAACCCCUAUGAUAGUUCUACAAUGUAUUACUCUUAAAAUCUAAGCUAGACCUGAAAUCCUAUAUUCUGUUUUAAGCUAUUACCUCUCAAUAGGAAAAGAGAGGUGUUGAGUGUCACCUUAAUCCUUCCUGAGAUAAACAUUCAAAUCAAUCUCUCUACAGAUUGCCCAUAACCUUGUUCUUGUCUGUAUUAAUACAUUCCUGUUGUCUGUCUUUAUUUCUGUUUACACUAUGUAAAUGUUAUAGAAUCAUCAAACUUUAGAAAUAGAUUUGAGAUAACAGAUUAAAUUAGGGAUACCAACUACUCUUUCAUUCCACAGAUAUUUACUGAGCCUGGAUUUUAUCAUCCAUGCCAACUAUAAGUGAUGAGUAGUGGCGACCUACAGCAUUGCACUGAGAGAAACUGAAAGCUGUACUCAUACAAGCUAGGAAACUGACUAUUCCAGCUGAGGGAAAGGAAGAGUGAACCCACAUACCAGAAACCUACUUUAUCUCGCCAAACACAAAUAUGGGAUGCCUAGUUAAGUUUGAA
rnacentral:lncRNA from 1 species